UACGGAGGGUGCAAGCGUUAUCCGGAUUUACUGGGUUUAAAGGGCUCGUAGGCGGCCAACUAAGUCAGACGUGAAAUCCCCCGGCUUAACCUGGGAACUGCGUCUGAUACUGGACGGCUUGAGUAUGGGAGAGGGAUGUAGAAUUCCAGGUGUAGCGGUGAAAUGCGUAGAUAUCUGGAGGAACACCGGUGGCGAAGGCGGCAUCCUGGACCGGUAUUGACGCUGAGGCGCGAAAGCCAGGGGGAGCAAACGGGG
rnacentral:rRNA from 1 species